GACGAAGGGGGCUAGCGUUGUUCGGAAUUACUGGGCGUAAAGCGCGUGUAGGCGGUUAUCCAAGUCGGGUGUGAAAGCCUUGAGCUCAACUCAAGAAAUGCACUCGGUACUGGGUGACUAGAGGACCGGAGAGGAUAGUGGAAUUCCCAGUGUAGUGGUGAAAUACGUAGAGAUUGGGAAGAACACCAGUGGCGAAGGCG
rnacentral:rRNA from 1 species